rnacentral:rRNA from 1 species
GAAAAGAACCCCGGCGAGGGGAGUGAAACAGAACCUGAAACCGUGUACGUACAAGCAGUGGGAGCCCCACCACUAAGCCAGUGGUGAACUCCACAUACGCAUCCUUUGCGGAAGAUGCGGUUAACGGAGCGAAAGCGACGUUCAACCUCAGAAGAAGCAGAGGGGGCUUAGUGGUGGGGUGACUGCGUACCUUUUGUAUAAUGGGUCAGCGACUUAUAUUCUGUAGCAAGGUUAACCGCAUAGGGGAGCCGAAGGGAAACCGAGUCUUAACCGGGCGUUAAGUUGCAGGGUAUAGACCCGAAACCCGGUGAUCUAGCCAUGGGCAGGUUGAAGGUUGGGUAACACUAACUGGAGGACCGAACCGACUAAUGUUGAAAAAUUAGCGGAUGACCUGUGGCUGGGGGUGAAAGGCCAAUCAAACCGGGAGAUAGCUGGUUCUCCCCGAAAGCUAUUUAGGUAGCGCCUCGUGAACUCAUCUCCGGGGGUAGAGCACUGUUUCGGCUAGGGGGCCAUCCCGGCUUACCAACCCGAUGCAAACUGCGAAUACCGGAGAAUGUUAUCACGGGAGACACACGGCGGGUGCUAACGUCCGUCGUGAAGAGGGAAACAACCCAGACCGCCAGCUAAGGUCCCAAAGUCAUGGUUAAGUGGGAAACGAUGUGGGAAGGCCCAGACAGCCAGGAUGUUGGCUUAGAAGCAGCCAUCAUUUAAAGAAAGCGUAAUAGCUCACUGGUCGAGUCGGCCUGCGCGGAAGAUGUAACGGGGCUAAACCAUGCACCGAAGCUGCGGCAGCGACACUGUGUGUUGUUGGGUAGGGGAGCGU